GAUGAACGCUGGCGGCGUGCCUAAUACAUGCAAGUCGAACGGUACUCGCAAGAGUAUAGUGGCGAACGGGUGAGUAACGCGUUGGUGACCUGCCCCAAAGAGGGGGAUAACAGUUCGAAAGGACUGCUAAUACCCCAUGUGAUGCAGCUAGUUAGAGAGGCUGUAUGAAAGGAGAAAUUCACUUUGGGAGGGGCCUGCGUCCCAUCAGCUAGUUGGUGAGGUAAAAGCCCACCAAGGCGAAGACGGGUAGGGGACCUGAGAGGGUGGACCCCCACACUGGCACUGAAACACGGGCCAGACACCUACGGGUGGCAGCAGUAGGGAAUAUUGGGAAUGGGCGAAAGCCUGACCCAGCAACGCCGCGUGUGCGAUGAAGGCCUUCGGGUUGUAAAGCACUUUUGGAAGGGACGAGGAAGGACGGUACCUUUCGAAUAAGCCUCGGCUAACUACGUGCCAGCCGCCGCGGUAACAC
rnacentral:rRNA from 1 species